GAUGAACGCUGGCGGCGUGCCUAAUACAUGCAAGUCGAGCGAACAGACGAGGAGCUUGCUCCUCUGACGUUAGCGGCGGACGGGUGAGUAACACGUGGAUAACCUACCUAUAAGACUGGGAUAACUUCGGGAAACCGGAGCUAAUACCGGAUAAUAUAUUGAACCGCAUGGUUCAAUAGUGAAAGACGGUUUUGCUGUCACUUAUAGAUGGAUCCGCGCCGCAUUAGCUAGUUGGUAAGGUAACGGCUUACCAAGGCAACGAUGCGUAGCCGACCUGAGAGGGUGAUCGGCCACACUGGAACUGAGACACGGUCCAGACUCCUACGGGAGGCAGCAGUAGGGAAUCUUCCGCAAAGGGCGAAAGCCUGACGUAGCAACGCCGCGUGAGUGAUGAAGGUCUUCGGAUCGUAAAACUCUGUUAUUAGGGAAGAACAAAUGUGUAAGUAACUAUGCACGUCUUGACGGUACCUAAUCAGAAAGCCACGGCUAACUACGUG
rnacentral:rRNA from 1 species